GACGAACGCUGGCGGCGUGCCUAAUACAUGCAAGUAGGACGCAGUUUCGAACGGGUGAGUAACGCAUAGGUAACUGCCUAUUAGAGGGGGAUAACUAUUGGAAACGAUAGCUAAUACCGCAUACUAGUAGAUGGACCUACAGUGUAUUAGCUAGUAGGUAGGGGAAGUGCCUACCUAGGCGACGAUACAUAGCCGAACUGGGUGGGUGUACGGCCACACUGGGGACUAGGAAAGGCCCCAGAAUCUACGGGAGGCCACAGUAGGGGAUCUUCGGCAAUUGGGCGAAACCUGACCGAAGCACGGCGCGUGAGUGAAGGAGGGUUUCGGUUCGGAAAGCUCUGUUGUUAAGGAAGCGGUACUUAACCAGAAAGGGACGGCUAACUACGUGCCAGCAGCCGCGGUAAUUC
rnacentral:rRNA from 1 species